CAUGUAGGUGGGCUUUUAAGUCCGAUGUGAAAAUGCGGGGCUCAACCCCGUAUGGCAUUGGAUACUGGAAGUCUUGAGUGCAGGAGAGGAAGGGGGAAUUCCCAGUGUAGCGGUGAAAUGCGUAGAUAUUGGGAGGAACACCAGUGGCGAAGGCGCCUUUCUGGACUGUGUCUGACACUGAGAUGCGAAAGCUAGGGUAGCAAACG
rnacentral:rRNA from 1 species